CCCUUCCACCAUGUGAGGACACAACCAGAAGUCUUUGACCUGGGCGUGGGCCUCACCCAAUGCUGCUAGCACCUUGAUCUUGGACUUCCAGCCUCCGGAACUGUGAGAAAUGAAUGUCUGCUGUUUAUUAGCCACGCAGACUGUGGAAUUUUGUAUAGUCCAGGAUGGACUAAGACACCUAUCUCCAGCAUUUCUGCAUGUGACUGGGUGUUCCAGUACCCAUGUAAGGUGCCAGUGUUGCUUCUGGGGUGUCACUAUUUUCUUGGCUGAGCUUCUAUCAAGAAACUUGUAUCAUUGUUCUUUUGAACCCUCUUGGCUGGCACAAACUGCCCGGUUUAUAAGCACACUGACUACAACGUGGAAGAAGAAAGUUCUAUAUUAAAACAAAAUGAACAAACAUGGUAGACCCAAUGGUCGUUGGUCACAGUGAUGUGAACUUCCUCUGAUCAGGCUCCAUUCAAGAACUUCCGAGUCCAAGGUGGAUUUACCACGAAUCUAACUGAGCUUAGGCUUCAGGGCCCUCACUUUCACGUGUGCCCUUGCCCUGUAUUGUCACUUGAAUUCCCUUUUGUGAAGGGGCUCCCUGAAUUGCCUGAGCUACAGACCCCACAGACUCUGGAUUGGCCCCUGUUCCCGACCAUGUGACUGUCCUUAAUGAGUAAAAGCUGCAGAUCCUAUUCUGACGGCUGCUGCCCCGUCAGCAGAGUGGUUUCAGCUCUGGAGUCCCCUGAACGACUCCCCGUCCUCCAGAAGGAGUUCUGUCACGGAGACUUUGGGAUUCCACUGUGGCUCUGCUCAAACCAGCGCUGCCAUGACCGGGCGAAACGUGAACCGCAGCUUCAGUUUGACCACACUUCACUUCCACCCAAAUUGGAAGAGAUCACCUCGAUGCCACCAGGAACAGGGAGCACGUAAAAUAGAUAAUCUACGCAGAGGAGGGCACUCAUGGCCAACACAAUCCAAUCUGGGAAAUAAAGAUAAAUCUACUGCCACCACCACUUUGUAUCACUGAAGGACAAUGAUUUGAUUUGCAAAGAUCUGAUGAGCUGAUUGACAAUAUGGGUCCUGGGUGGCUGAUGUGAGGAGAGAAGCAAUGGAACAGACUGGCCUGCAAGGAUUGCUAAGCGGGAAAGUAGGAAACCUUGAGCUGGAGUCGCUGAGUCCCUUCUCCCACCCCGCAGCGUCCACGACCAGUAGGAGGACCCGCCACCUCAUUCCAGGGGCUGGCGCUGCUUUCCCUUCUGUGUUGGACCCGCACGUCCGCUUUCGUCUAAGAAAUGAUUAUUUACCAUUAAAUCUGGUCCCUGCCGUGGCCAGUCUGCAAUUUCAGUAUCUUACAGUCUGCAGCAAUUUCUACUCAAAAGACUUGGGCUUUUAACUUUUUUUUUCCUGAAAAUUCAAAUAUUAAAAAAAAAAAUGUUCUUUUUCUGAUUAUAAAAGUAAAAUAAGGUC
rnacentral:lncRNA from 1 species